AUAGAGAUGAGGUCCUUCAUGCUUUUAGUGUAGUUCGGCCUCCAUUUUUUGUUGGGGUAGUCCGUCGCUGUUCCUUCACAUUUCUCUCCUUCUUCUUUCUUGUCGGGUCUCGAAUGAUCGGACUUUAAUUGGCAUCGAGACGAGGUUCUUCCCCUAUUUCUGAUGUGAUCGGUUUCAGCUCAGGUUAGGACGAGGUUCUCCUUCUGUUCCUAACGGGGCUGUGGGGGCACAUAUGGGCG
rnacentral:lncRNA from 1 species